rnacentral:rRNA from 2 species
CCUAAAAAUGCAAGUCGAACGAGCUUCCGUUGAAUGACGUGCUUGCACUGAUUUCAACAAUGAAGCGAGUGGCGAACUGGUGAGUAACACGUGGGAAAUCUGCCCAGAAGCAGGGGAUAACACUUGGAAACAGGUGCUAAUACCGUAUAACAACAAAAUCCGCAUGGAUUUUGUUUGAAAGGUGGCUUCGGCUAUCACUUCUGGAUGAUCCCGCGGCGUAUUAGUUAGUUGGUGAGGUAAAGGCCCACCAAGACGAUGAUACGUAGCCGACCUGAGAGGGUAAUCGGCCACAUUGGGACUGAGACACGGCCCAAACUCCUACGGGAGGCAGCAGUAGGGAAUCUUCCACAAUGGACGAAAGUCUGAUGGAGCAAUGCCGCGUGAGUGAAGAAGGGUUUCGGCUCGUAAAACUCUGUUGUUAAAGAAGAACACCUUUGAGAGUAACUGUUCAAGGGUUGACGGUAUUUAACCAGAAAGCCACGGCUAACUACGUGCCAGCAGCCGCGGUAAUACGUAGGUGGCAAGCGUUGUCCGGAUUUAUUGGGCGUAAAGCGAGCGCAGGCGGUUUUUUAAGUCUGAUGUGAAAGCCUUCGGCUUAACCGGAGAAGUGCAUCGGAAACUGGGAGACUUGAGUGCAGAAGAGGACAGUGGAACUCCAUGUGUAGCGGUGGAAUGCGUAGAUAUAUGGAAGAACACCAGUGGCGAAGGCGGCUGUCUAGUCUGUAACUGACGCUGAGGCUCGAAAGCAUGGGUAGCGAACAGGAUUAGAUACCCUGGUAGUCCAUGCCGUAAACGAUGAGUGCUAAGUGUUGGAGGGUUUCCGCCCUUCAGUGCUGCAGCUAACGCAUUAAGCACUCCGCCUGGGGAGUACGACCGCAAGGUUGAAACUCAAAGGAAUUGACGGGGGCCCGCACAAGCGGUGGAGCAUGUGGUUUAAUUCGAAGCUACGCGAAGAACCUUACCAGGUCUUGACAUCUUCUGCCAAUCUUAGAGAUAAGACGUUCCCUUCGGGGACAGAAUGACAGGUGGUGCAUGGUUGUCGUCAGCUCGUGUCGUGAGAUGUUGGGUUAAGUCCCGCAACGAGCGCAACCCUUAUUAUCAGUUGCCAGCAUUCAGUUGGGCACUCUGGUGAGACUGCCGGUGAC